AUUUCCACUGUCACAAAGUUCCUGGGUUUUGUUUCGUUUUUCUUUUGUUUUUAAACUGUUUCGUUUGCUUGGUUUGCUCUUGAAUUCAUCUCAAGACAAGGCAGCAGGGCAUGCAAGCCGAGACACCGGCACGGACGCACAAACAGGCUUCAUCUUUACAAACAAGGCUCUUUGCUGGAGCUGCUGUUUCGCAGCGGGGGGCCCGGCUGCCCCCGGCCAGGGGUCCCGCGGGACACGGCACCCAACCGCGGGGCUGGCGGCCGCAGGAGCCGAGAGAGAGAAGGGAAGGAUGGCAUUCCUGCCGCGCUGCUGGAACUGGGUCGGGGCUGGCACGUGUGACUGAGACCCCAAAAUUGCUCUGCAAGAAAACCCCCAAGCUGCUGCACCAAGAGCGGGGUCAGCAGCUCCCUCCUCCCCCCCCCCCCAGCCCUCGCUCCUGCCCCACCGGCCACCACCACCGGUCCAGCCAACCCCCUCCCCUCCAACGCCCCCGUGAAGGUGGGGUGGCCGUUGCCCUCCCAAAAUGCCCCAGAUCUCCCCCUUUACCCUGGGGCCAGGGACAAUGGGACAAUGAGCUGGCUGCGGGGCACCCACCCACCCCAACCAAACCCCCCUCCAACCCUAAAUAUAUAGGAAGAGGGCAGUUCUGCCAGUGAUUUCGGCUGCCCCCAUGCCGCACCUAGCCCUGCUUUGAAGCCAGCCCUGCUCCAAGCGCGGCUCAGCCCCAGACCCCGAGACCCUUCCACCCCCCCCCGGGCUAGCACAGCUGCUGGCAGACACGCACUUACAUCCCUGCCUGCUCGGGGGGGGCAGCGGCUCUGGGAUGGGGGUCCCACAGCCUCAGUGCCCCCCACCCAACUGGGACGCGGUGUCCUGCCAGCACGGGGGGCAGGCACCGACAGGCACCCGCUUCUGCACCGCCGGGUGAGAUGCAGCUGGUGCCCAGCACAAACGGGGUGGGGGGAGCUCCAGGGGGCCACCUGGUUUCAUUACACAUCGCAGCAGUUAUAGGGCUGCUCCAGAGGAAAAACUUGCUUCACUUUUCUCUCUCUUGGGUCCUGGUUUGUGCCGUGAUGGGGGGGUGGGGGGGGUGGGGGGGGUGGGCAGGGAAUCUGCCCCCAGAGCCUUCUCCCACGUCCUUGCUCUGCAGGGGAAACAGCUCAGCCCAGCCCAGCCCCAGAGCUCAAGGAAAGACGGUUACAAAGCUGCAACAGUCAGCACACAAACAGAAAAAUGAAAAGAAAGGAAAGCACAGACAUGGCAUUUUAAUGGGGCAACACCAACAGGGACAAAUGAGAGGUGGGGGACACACACGCCUCUGCCUGGCUGCGCUUCGGGUCCCCUCCCCAUCACCGGGGCUGCAGCCGGCUGUAUUUCAGGCAGGCACGAGGAACCCGAAACAGAAACAAAUCAGGCCUUGUCACCCGUUCGCUUUUAAUAAUGAGCAGGUGUAAAAAGAAGACCGAAAUGAACGAUUCUCUGAUGUAAGCUCCGCCGCCGCGGUUCACGCGCAGGUCCCGGUGCUCCGCACGUGCCCGAGGUUCGGUGGCUCCUGCCAAACCCCCCCGGUCGCAGCCGUGAGCCGGACCCAGUGCUCGUGCUCCCCGGGGCACAGGCGUUGAAUCGCUCUCCGGAGAGGGGGGUGGCUCACCCAGGCCAUUUCACUGAUGGGGAAACUGAGGCACGAGGAGGUUAAGGCCAACGUUUCCAAGCACGAGAUGCUUCAAGCCUUAAUUUCAGCGGUACCGAGAAGCUGCAGAUCCUGGUGAUGUUCAGGAGUCGGGGGCCCUUGGUGCUCCUCAAAGGGAGGCUAGAAGCAUCCAAGCCAGGGUCCCAAAUCCACAGCCAGGGGGGGAAUACCGGGGCCAAAAUGAUUUGCUCAGGGACACUCAGCAUGCCAAGAGCAGGGCAGGACAGAACCCACACUGGGACCUGCCACGGGGCCGGAGCCAGAACCCAGGAGCCAGCCCCGAACCCGCAGGAGGGGCCUCUGCCCAGGAAAAGUCAUCGUUGCCAUCAAGCCAACGGCGUCCUCACAGCUGGCACAGAGCUUUUGAAAACAGGCCAAAACCUUUUAUCCUUUUCGCUCAUUCUCCUUUUUUUUUUCUUUUUAAUGUGCAAAUAUUUAACGAGGGGCGAGGGAGGACGAGGCAUUGGGCUCCAUCCCUGAGCCCACCAGCAUCAGUGGCAGCGGGAGGUUCAUGGCGAUGACAGCAGCACCAGACACUGAAUUUUGGGAAUUCUGGGGUCUGAGGCUCUCCCAAGCCGGUGCUGGUCCCUCACCCCACCCGUGACGGGGGCCGCACACCCCGCUGCUGCUGCAGGGCUGCCUCCCUGGUGAGAUGUCAGUGAGUGCUGACGGAGCUCAAAGCAUAGCAGGUCCUCUGAAAAUGAAAAGCCUUUCAGGGGAAAGUGUCAGAGCAAAUGAGGUUUGCCUUUGCCUGGGAAUUAUGUCAAACGUCGCGAGGUCCAUCAUUUAUCAGCGGAGGCGAUUACAGCAGCGUCACAUUCAUUGGGAACAUCGAUUGGCACUGGGAAGGGACCGUUCUGGCAGAUGAGCGUUAGAGAAGUUGGAGGCACUGCGAAGAUCUACCCAAGAGAGUCGCAUUUUGGCCACAAAGCAUCAAGGAAAAGGAGUUUCCAUGAGAGGGAGAGAGGUAACACCCUCGAGCAGCCCCCCACAAUGAACCACAGGCACCCUCAGGGGCAGAAACCACAGGAGAGGCAGAAAUAUUGCACGUGGAUAUGAGGGUGGUUCUCCUUGGGGAUGGGGAAGGGCGGUUUCUUAUGGGCAUCAGAAAGUGCCACCAGCACACAGCCCCAAAACCGGGGGAGUGGGGCUGCACAGCGAAGGACCAGCAUCGUUUGGCCCGAGAGUUUGUCCCUGCCGUGUGGGGACGAUUCAGACCCCGCUGGGGCACCCCCCUGCUUCCUGCGUCGUGGGACACGGAUGUCCUCCACGUCCAGGCGUCACCUCCUGCUGCCGUGGGGACAGUCCCCGUGGCCGAGGGCUGUGGGCACCGGCCGGGCUCGGCCGCGGGAGCUGCAGGCAUCCCGGAGCAGAGCGGGGCGGGAAGGCGAUGCCGCCUCAGGCGUACCGGGGAUGGAGCGGUGGGAGAGCAGCACGGGUGCUACCGGGCCAGCAACGGAGCAGGAGGGGUUGGUUUGCAUCCCGGCUGGUAUUAGGGGUCCCACGGGCAUCUCGCACUUUGCUCCCGUGGAGGUGGAAAUCUCUCCUUCCCCAGCGCAGGGGACAAGGCGGACGGAGGCAGAGCUGCGGAUCCCCGUAACGCUCGUCCCGCAGCAGAGAUGCCGCUGUGUCCCACGGAGUGGGAGUGUGUCCCGGCGGGGCUGAGCCCUGCUCGGGCACAUCCCGGUGAGGUGUCAGGUGCUGGAGAGGCCGUGUGGCCACCACUCGUGGCCGCGGGGGGGGUGUGUGUGUGCUAUUUCCAAGCCCCACGCUCAGGUGUCUCCAGGCGCGUUUCCCCAGCCCUCUGUCUCCCCCAGAGCGGGGACAAGCGGCUCCGCUUUGGGGCCGUGCUCUCGAUCUACCACAAAACCUCCCACGUCCUAAACGAGGAGCAAGGGAGUAAGGAGACACCCCGAAUCGCGCGUCUCCCAGCCUGGCACCCCCGAGGCAGGAGCUGCCUCAUCGCCCCAGCCGGGAUGGGGGGGCACGGAGCGAGCCGUCCCCACGGGCACCCCCAGCCCCACCGGCACACGGGCUAAUCCCCAGGCACCUCCCUGGCACGCAAACAGACUUUUCCACCGUUUGCAAAACAAAAAAUAUUAAAGGAAUAUUUGCUUGGAAGCAAAAUCCAACUCUCGGCUCCAUUAAUACUAUUUCAUGCAGUGAGAAACUGAAAAAAAAAAAAAAAAAGGAAAAAAGGGUGUUCCGGUGCCUGGUGGUUUCCUCGCCCUGCCUAAGGGAUGGAGUGGGCUUGAUCUGCUCGGAGCCUAGGCUGAGCAAGCUUCAGCUGGGCUUGCAAAGAGAAGGCUGAACAGAAAAAUGCAGGAAAUGGGAAUGGGAAGAAGAAAAGAAGUUACAGCAUCCCCUUAAAACGGCAGCCAGCCCACGGAGCUUGGGACACGGCGGGGUAGGAGGAGAGGGGGGGAAGGCAGAUUUUUGGCUUCAUUGUUAUUGCAGGCUCCUAGUGCCCCGCAAUAGUGUACGAGCAUGUAAACCUUACAUAUCAUCACCUAGGUGGUUGGACACACACACAAGGGACUAAACACGGCAGCAACAUUUACAACAAAUAAAUAAGGAUAUCGAUCGUCGAGACAGGCAUGUAAAAAAAAAGCCUCACUUUUUUCCACCAAAGGAAAAAAAAAAAAAAAAAAAAAAAGAAAAUGCACAAUACUGUCUCACCAAAAAAAAAAAAAAAAAUUAUAUAUAAUAUAUAUCCCUAGUGAGCCGGGCCAGGCUGCCAGCCGCGUCGCAGGUGACACCAGGACUGUCCCCAAUCGCUGCCGGUGCCUUGGCUCCCCGGCCGCCCCGCGCAGGCAGCACCCCGGGGUGCGCGGCCCCCCGGUACCUUUGGGCUCCGUCUCCAGCCGGCCGGUUCCCAGGAGAGGACCGUGCCAGCGCCGGCGCAUCCGCAGUCCCAUCCGAAAACGUAGGAAAGGGGGAGCGAGGAGGGCGAGGAGGCCGAGGUGGGGCUCUGCUUUCGGCAACGCUCGACCUGUUCCCCCGGCCCUGAAGUCUCGGGCGUUCGCUGCCGCUCAGACCGGGGUCUGUGGCGGGUAUUUUUUUUUUUUUUUUUUUU